ensembl:lncRNA
CCUCCGCGUGGAGUGACCGCUCCUGGAGCCCCCUGGCACCGGGCCGGCCCUGGCAGCUUGAGGGGCUCUCCGAGCCCCUGGGGGUCCGGGGGAGAGAGGCCAGGGGCCACUUGCUUGUCAGUCAGCUUGCCUCCCCAGCCCGGGCUGGUGGCUGGGCCUUCUGAGGGAUCUCUAUGCAGGUGGCAGAAGAUAUCCCAGAAGCGCUGACACAAAACAGAGAGUGUGCUCUCCACCCCGUGGGAACAAGAGGUACGGCUGCGUCCCGCUCGGAUCCAUCCUGACACGAAGGCCUUCACCAAAUCCACGCUCGCCCCACACGUUGGAGCCACACACGAUCAUGCCAUGCCUGGCGUGUCAACUGGGCCCAGAGACGCGGGACCGAGUCGAGGCGUUAUCCGGGACCCACCCAGUUUCCAAAAAGGGCUGGACCAGUGAACAGAGCGGAGGUGUGGUGGCCAUUGCCAUGGGUCUUGGUGUCGAUUGGUGGUACUGAGCUCUGUCUUCCUGCCGGGGCGCCAUAUGCCUUGGAUUCACUGUCUUGACCGAGGGAAGCUUGGGGGACUCCCACUUCAAUCUUCCCACCCGACCUAUGAUAGUUUUUACCCCCCGGGACUCAAUUGUUGGGAUUACCAUAACUGCCAAGGAUCCCAAUGCCAACGACACAUUCAGGGACCACAAAGAUGACCACUGGGUGUGUCCAUGAACCUAGCAGGCCCACUGUAAGCUGGGGUUUGGCCAGGACCCCGUUUAUUUCUUGGCCCCAUAAGACCUCCUCUUUAUUUAUUUCUUUUUUAAUUUUUUAAACGUUUAUUUAUAUUUGAGAGAGAGAGAGAGAGAGAGAGAGCGCAAGCGGGGGAGGGGCAGGGAUGCAGGGAGACACAGAAUGGAAAGAAGGUUCCAGGCUCUGAGCUGUCAGCACAGAGCCCAACAUGGGGCUCAAACUCAUGAACCGUGAAAUCAUGACCCGAGCUGAAGUCCGACGCUUAACUGACUGAGCCACCCAGACGCCCCACUUCCCAUUUAUUUGUAUCUGCUCGUUUGUUGAUGGACAUUUAGGUUGUUUUCAGUUUGGGGUUGUCACCAAUAAAAGGUACCCUGAACAUCCA